GCCAGACGGCGAAUGUGAUUGGCAGACGACGAUCGCGAUCGGGAAGAAGACCAUUGUGAUUGGCAGAUGGCGAAUGUGAUUGGCAGGCGACAGGUAGCCGCAAAGCAAGAAACCUGAAAGAGCCCAUUUAAUAAAAAAUGAAAGACCAACACCCAACACGCAGAGAAAGGGGGAAAAAAAACACAAAUCAUGCAAACAACUGAAGCCAGCAACAACAUUCUGAAGCAAGUUAAGUCCUCAGGUCCGAACCACAGAGUGGGCCCUAAGCCUCGCUUAUCAGUUCAUCAUAUCAGCAGGCAUGGAGCACAGCAGCCGGGGCAGUCUUCAUAGCCUCAACACCACGGAGACGAGUGACUCUUGUGGAAAGCAAGUGAAAUCAGCUCUCGCCUCAGAUCCCAACAACCUGUCUUAUCUAUUGGAGGAACAACACCUUAUAUUCCGUCUGGGUAGCCUCCAACCUGAUGGCAUGAACAUUGACUUCUCAAACUUCUGCUAAUGUCCCACCUCCCCCUCGUACCCCAUCCGUUAUUUAUUCAUAUACACACAUUCUUUUUCAUUCUCUCCUUUUUCUCCCUCUGUCCCUCUGACUAUACCCCUUGCCCAUCCUCUGGGUUCCCCCCCUCCCCCUUUUCCUUCUCCCUGGGCCUCCUGUCCCAUGAUCCUCUCAUAUCCCUUUUGCCAAUCACCUGUCCAGCUCUUGGCUCCAUCCCUCCCCCUCCUGUCUUCUAUCAUUUUGGAUCUCCUGCUCCCCCUCCCACUUUCAAAUCUCUUACUAUCUCUUCUUUCAGUUAGUCCUGACGAAGGGUCUCGGCCCGAAACGUCGACUGUACCUCUUCCUAGAGAUGCUGCCUGGCCUGCUGCGUUCACCAGCAACUUUUAUGUGUGUUGCUUGAAAUUCCAGCAUCUGCAGGUUUCCUCGUGUUUGUGUCUUAUCUGGGCCGGCGUUUAAAUUGACCAAACAACCGAUCAUGAUUGUUCUUGGCAAAUUUUUCUACAGAAGUGGGCAGUGUCUUUACAAGACGGGUGAGCACACCGCCACCCUCCCCCCGCCCCCAGCCAUUAUCAACACUCUCCAGAGAUUGUCUGCCUGGCGUCAGUGGUCACAUAACCAGGACAUGUGAUAUGCACUGGCCGCUGAUACGACCAUCCACUACCUGCUCCCACGGCUUCAUGUGACCCCGAUCAGGGGGCUAAGCAGGUGCUACACCUUGCUCAAGGGUGAUCUUUAGGCUAGCAGAGGGAAGGAGUGGUCUUCCGCCUCCUUUGAUAGAGACGUAUCUCCACCUUGCCACCCUAUGAAUUAUCUUGCUUAAUAAACUACUACUAUGUCGACUCAGGCCUAGGGGGCCAGCGUCGGGCACGAUGAUGGACUCUCCACUUCUCCCUCUCCCUCAUCAGUGUGUCCAGUUCAUCUACAUUAGCCGUGCCGCUCUCUUCUAGGAGCGUGUUGACCAUAGUUUUGGGAGGGCACCCAGGGUUCGUCCUCCCGUGCUUGGGCUCCCAUAUGAUGACUAGGCUGACAGGUAGCUCGGGGUGGCGUAGACAGUGCCCCGCUAGUUGCAGUCUUCUCGCCUCGAUUUUAGUGGAGAGCAUUGGUAGGUUGUUAGAGAGCUCAACGUUCGUCAUGUGCUAUUGCCAACUCACGUCAAGAGCCAUCCGGAGCAUUCGUGUAUAGCAACCAUCUAGAGACUUCUGCAUCGUCUUUGUGAGUGUCCAUGUCUCGCAUCCGUACGUGAGAAUGGACUCUGUGACUGCUAUGAAACUCUCUGUAUAAUUUAUUUAUUUUAUAACAAGCCCUUCUGGCCUAACGAGUCCACGUCAUCUAAUUAUACCCAAAGGACCAAUUAACCUACUAACCCAUACAUCUUUGGAAUGUGGGAGUAAACUGGAGCACCCAGAGCAAACCCACAUGGUCAUGGGGAGAAUUUACAAACUUACGGACAGUGGCGGGAAUUGAACCCGGGUUUCUGGUGCUGUGAAACAUUACACCGAUCGUUACACUGCGGUGCUGCCCCAACUGUGAUGUGAAACAUCCCCUUGGCGUCUGCGGGCUCGGCAACGUUUACUCUGCUAUGUGCUGAAGUGAGUCUGAGGCUGUGGGCCUGCUCCAGGCUUCAUGUUCUAAAUGCUGUUUGCUUGCAUGAUUUCCUUUGUUUUCCUCUCUCUGCACAGUGGGUGUUCGAAAGUUUUUUAAAAAAUGGGUUCUUUUGGGUUUCUUGUUUUGUGGUCACUUGUAAGAAGACAAAUCUCAAGGUUGUAUACUUCGAUAAUAAAUGCACUUUGAACUUUGUACUUUAAUAAGACAGUUGGAGCCCGAGAACUUCAUUUUGAAAAGAUGAGCAAGGACGAGUUGGCCAUUAUAUACAAAUGCUCUUUGUCUGAGCUGUGGAGAUUAAAAGGCUAAUUCUCUAUGGUGAGGUGUAAUUCCAGAAAGAAUUACCUUACAGCUGCCCAUAGCUCACAAACCUGGCUUAACGCUGUUCUAUAUAAAUCCGACCACCUCUGAACGCAGAAUCAAGAAUAGUCUUGGAUUUUAAGUACUUCUUUUCAGAAUCCUGGUGAUGCAUUAUUGAGUAUUACCAACUAAAGUGAAAAGUAAAGCUUUCACUUAUGCAGGGCUUUUCACUUGCAGAGUGUUUCAAAGCAUUUGCAGCUACUGAAUUACUCAGGAGUAUAGUUCUAGUUGUACACAGGGCCCUUAGCAUUGUCAAGGAUUCCUCCCAUCCGUCCCACAAUCUUUCUGACUCUCCCAACCAUCUGGCAGGAGGUGCUAACACGGGAAAGUCUGCAGACACCGGAAAUCCAAGCAAAACACACACAAAGUGCUGGAGGAACUCAACAGGCCAGGGCGUAUCUAUGGAAAAGAGUAAACAGUCAACAGCAAUCAGUGAAGGAUGAAGGGUCUCAAGUCAAGGUAAAAGGUAUGGGGAAUAAAUAGUGGCCAUUCUAGGGACAUCCUGCAAAUGAAUAUAAAAAAAAGCAGAUUUAAUAUUCCUAUCAAUUACUUUUCUGAUGGAUGGUGAUUGUUAUGGAGAGAAAAGCCUGGGAUGGCACUCUUCAACCCACUUGAGUCCAGAUCAAAAAGUCAAGCACCCAUCUACAGGGGCAGUGUAUGCAUCUCACUGCCCCAGGAAAGCAGCCAGCACAAUCCCCGGACAUUGUCUCUUCUAGCCCAUCGGGCAGAAGAUACAAAAGCCUGAAAGCACAUACCACCAGGCUCAAUCCCACUCUUAUCAGACUCUCGAAUGGAGCUACUGUCUGAUAAGAUAGACUCUUGACCUCACAAUCUACCUUGUUAUGAUCUUGCACCUUGUCUGCAUUUUCCCUGUGGCUUCUGUGUCCUAUCAUUAUUUGACCCUCUUCCACCUCCUGUGGCGCAUCAGGCAGCAAGCUUGCCGCUUCUUUAGCGUUUUUGUCUGUUUUUUUAAUGGGGCCGAGUUGCUAGGACAACACUCGGCCUAGUACGGAUGGCAAGGAGCUGGCUGGAUUUGAACCCGGGACCACCCACCUCAAAGUCUGGUGCUGAUACCACUACGCCACCAGCCGGCUAUGUUCUAGCUUAGAACACUGUAUGAUGAUUGGAUCUAUAUAAAUAUAUGCAAAGCAAGCCUUUCACUGUAUCAUGAUGCACCGUAGAAAGCAUUCUUCCAGGGUGCAUCACAACCUGGUAUGGAAGUUGUCCUGUCCAAGACCGAAAGAAGCUGCAGAAGAUCGUGAACACGGCGCAGCACAUCACACAAACCAAUCUUCCGUCCUUGGACUCACUUUACACCGCACGCCGUCGGAGCAGUGCUGCCAGGAUAAUCAAGGACACGACCCACCCAGUCAACAGACUUCUCGUCCCUCUUCCCUCCGGGAGAAGGCUCAGGAGCUUGAAGACUCGCACGGCCAGAUUUGGGAACAGCUUCUUUCCAACCGUGAUGAGACUGCUGAACGGAUCCUGACCCGGAUCUGGGCCGUACCCUCCAAAUAUCCAGACCUGCCUCUCGGUUUUUUUGCACUACCUUAUUUUCCAUUUUCCUAUUUAUGAUUUAUAAUUUAAAUUUUUAAUAUUUACUAAUUUUUACUAUUUUUAAUAUUUAAUAUUUGUAAUCCAGGGAGUGGGAAGCGCAGAAUCAAAUAUCGCUGUGAUGAUUUUAUGUUCUAGUACCAAUUGUUUGGCGACAAUAAAGUAUAAAGUAUGAGGCCAAGAGUCAAUCUUAUGGUACAAUAGGAGAUCCAUUCAAAAGUCUGAUAACAGCGGGAUAGAAGCUGUCCUUGAUCCUGCUGGAAUGCGUUCUCAGGUUUUUGUACCUUCUGCCUGACGGGAGAGAAUGGUGGGGAGUAUAUUGACUGGCAGCAUCACAGCCUGGCAUGGAAACACCUUGGACAGAAAAUCCAACAAAAAAUAGUGGAUACAGCCCAGUCCAUCAGAGAUUGAGUCCUCCCCACCACUGAGCACGUCUACACAGAGUGUUGUCGCAGGAAGGCAGCAUCCACCAUCAAGAGCCCCCACACCCAGGACAUGCCCUUUCCUCACUGCUGCCAUCAGGACGUGAGUGAAGGAGCCUCGGGGUUCACACCGCCAGGUUCAGGAACGGUUACUACCCCUCAACCAUCAGGCUCUUAAACCAAAGAGGACAUCUUCACCCAAUUUCACUUGUUCCAUCACUGAAAUACUCCCACAGUCUAUGGACUCACUUCCAAGGACUCUUCAUCUCAUGUUUUGAAUAUUUGUUGCUAAUUUAUUUAUUAUUAAUUUCUUUCUUCAUUUGCACAAUUUAUUGUCUUUUGAACACCCAAUUGGUGCAAUCUUUCACUGAUUCUAUUAUGGUUAUUGGAUUUAUCGAGUAUCCGCACAAGAAAAAAUAAUCUCAUGGU